GUCAGAGGUCAUGGCUCAGGCGGGCAGGAGGGCACCGCAGGGCCGAGGCUGUGGGUGGUCUCAGGCCCCGCUCUUGGCCCUUGCCCGGCCCUGGAAAAGACUCAGGAUGCAGAGAGUAUUCUGGCAUUGAGUGAGAGGCGGGUUUAGCACCCUCUCAGCCCAGACCCUGGGAUUCUCAGCUUCUACCCAAACACGGAAUCUCCUACCAGUGGCCACUCCCCCAGGGGUGGAGACCACACUCCUGGAGUGGGCGUGGGCCAGAGAGCAGCCGGCAGCCUGGACGGACUCAGGGCUGGGCUCUGAGCCCUUCCAUCACCGGGAGAAAGCUGGAGGUCUCCAGUAUCCUGGGACCCCACUCCCCCACCCUCACAGGCACUGUGCUUCUCAGGGUGCUGAGAACCUUCCCCGCGGAUUCUCUUGGGUGAAACUCACAGUGGCCUGGGAAGAAAGGCUCAUGGGGAGACUGAGCUAGCUUCACAGAUGGAGUUAAGUGGGGAGAGGGAGGUAAAUGCAAAAGCUCUUUGCAAACCUAACUGCAUUUGGUAAAUUGAAAAAGGGCUUUCUAAACCGUCUGUGGGGCACAUAAUAAAGUUCUUUGUGUGGAGCAAAGUUCUUGCUCAAGUAUAAGA
rnacentral:lncRNA from 1 species